ACGCUGGCGGCAGGCCUAACACAUGCAGUCGAGCGGUAGAGAGAAGCUUGCUUCUCUUGAGAGCGGCGGACGGGUGAGUAAUGCCUAGGAAUCUGCCUGGUAGUGGGGGAUAACGUCCGGAAACGGACGCUAAUACCGCAUACGUCCUACGGGAGAAAGCAGGGGACCUUCGGGCCUUGCGCUAUCAGAUGAGCCUAGGUCGGAUUAGCUAGUUGGUGGGGUAAUGGCUCACCAAGGCGACGAUCCGUAACUGGUCUGAGAGGAUGAUCAGUCACACUGGAACUGAGACACGGCCCAGACUCCUACGGGAGGCAGCAGUGGGGAAUAUUGGACAAUGGGCGAAAGCCUGAUCCAGCCAUGCCGCGUGUGUGAAGAAGGUCUUCGGAUUGUAAAGCACUUUAAGUUGGGAGGAAGGGCAGUAAAUUAAUACUUUGCUGUUUUGACGUUACCGACAGAAUAAGCACCGGCUAACUCUGUGCCAGCAGCCGCGGUAAUACAGAGGGUGCAAGCGUUAAUCGGAAUUACUGGGCGUAAAGCGCGCGUAGGUGGUUCGUUAAGUUGGAUGUGAAAUCCCCGGGCUCAACCUGGGAACUGCAUUCAAAACUGACGAGCUAGAGUAUGGUAGAGGGUGGUGGAAUUUCCUGUGUAGCGGUGAAAUGCGUAGAUAUAGGAAGGAACACCAGUGGCGAAGGCGACCACCUGGACUGAUACUGACACUGAGGUGCGAAAGCGUGGGGAGCAAAC
rnacentral:rRNA from 1 species